rnacentral:rRNA from 1 species
UUUCCCUCAGGAUAGCUGGCACUCGCUUGAGCGAGUCUCAUCUGGUAAAGCGAAUGAUUAGAGGCCUUGGGGCCGAAACGACCUCAACCUAUUCUCAAACUUUAAAUGGGUGAGAUCUCUGGCUUGCUUGAACGUUGAAGCCAUGAGAAUGUGGAUCAGAGUGCCAAGUGGGCCAAUUUUGGUAAGCAGAACUGGCGCUGUGGGA